GAUGAACGCUGGCGGCGUGCCUAAUACAUGCAAGUCGAGCGAACAGAUAAGGAGCUUGCUCCUUUGACGUUAGCGGCGGACGGGUGAGUAACACGUGGGUAACUUACCUAUAAGACUGGAAUAACUCCGGGAAACCGGGGCUAAUGCCGGAUAAUAUGUUGAACCGCAUGGUUCUACAGUGAAAGGCGGCUUUGCUGUCACUUAUAGAUGGACCCGCGCCGUAUUAGCUAGUUGGUGAGGUAACGGCUCACCAAGGCAACGAUACGUAGCCGACCUGAGAGGGUGAUCGGCCACACUGGAACUGAGACACGGUCCAGACUCCUACGGGAGGCAGCAGUAGGGAAUCUUCCGCAAUGGGCGAAAGCCUGACGGAGCAACGCCGCGUGAGUGAUGAAGGUCUUCGGAUCGUAAAACUCUGUUAUUAGGGAAGAACAAAUGCGUAAGUAACUGUGCGCGUCUUGACGGUACCUAAUCAGAAAGCCACGGCUAACUACGUG
rnacentral:rRNA from 1 species